CGUUGACCAAUCAGCGUUACGUUUCGCUGUAUAAAAGCACGCGUCACAUUCUCCUCUUCCUCUUUCAGCCCGCUUUCUCAAGAGGACGGAGGUGUUUGUCGGAGUGAAUAUCGGAUCACCACGUGGCUCCACCGCGAUCACUAGUGCUGAGGUCGGAUGAUGCAAAAUGAGUUGAUUUUAUAAAGACGUCCCAUCAUCAAAAUACUGCUUGAGAUGUCCGAGUGAGCCUUCUCUAAGAGCAUCUGUAGUGUGGUUUUCACAGUUCCUGAGACUGUGCUGUCGGUGUGCUCCAGGUUCUCCGACAGCGUGCUGAAUCAACAGGCGGACUUGCAGGUCUUCAGCAGCUCCUGACCAGCAAGUGGAAGUUGUAAAAUGAGUGAUGCAAGUCAAACCUAAUAUUAAAGUGUGGAUUGGUCUUUCA